UACGAAGGGGGCUAGCGUUGCUCGGAAUUACUGGGCGUAAAGGGCGCGUAGGCGGCACUGUUAGUCAGGCGUGAAAGUCCUGGGCUCAACCUGGGAACUGCGCUUGAUACGGCAGAGCUAGAGGAUGGAAGAGGCUCGCGGAAUUCCCAGUGUAGAGGUGAAAUUCGUAGAUAUUGGGAAGAACACCGGUGGCGAAGGCGGCGAGCUGGUCCAUUACUGACGCUGAGGCGCGACAGCGUGGAGAGCAAACAGG
rnacentral:rRNA from 1 species